AUGUUGUCAGACUGGGGCCCCUCCAGCACCUUUAGUACCAGUUCGUGGCACGAACCGGUACUAAAGGUCAUCCUGCAUAUAAACCCUUCGUCCAGCUCGCUCUGUUCUUCCCCCCUUUCCUCUCCUCCCAUCGAGCUCCAUCACACAUUUUGCCCAAAUUUUGUCAAGAUUAGAAGGCCCCCAUCCAUUCAAGUGAUCACAAAGGUUAGCAACUUUGUCCUUUCAUCUCUCAUUGCUAGAUUAGCUCUUGCAAUGCUUUAUAUAGUGAUUAAUUUGUGGGUUUUAGUAAUUUGGGAGGAAUUAUAUGUGGUAGUUUAUUUUAUUUAUAUGCAAUUUGAGCUUAAAAUAACUAUUAGUUUGCAUAUGUAG
rnacentral:rRNA from 1 species